rnacentral:misc_RNA from 1 species
CUAUAUUAUGUGUCCAAAAUUUCAGAAAGCUGCUGCUUAGGUUCUAUAGCUUGUAAUGCAAUAAGAGAGUUUGCAAUAAUUUUUGGAGCCAAUAAUUGCAUAUCGUAAGAUAGCUUCACAAACCAGUUCUUAGCUGUAGCUUCCUCUUGCCAACCAAAAGAUAUAGCUUCACAUUCACUUGCAAAUCAAAAUAUAUUCUACUACCACC